UACGUAGGGCGCAAGCGUUGUCCGGAAUUAUUGGGCGUAAAGAGCUCGUAGGCGGUUUGUCGCGUCUGUCGUGAAAGCCCACGGCUUAACCGUGGGUCUGCGGUGGAUACGGGCAGACUAGAGGCAGGUAGGGGAGAAUGGAAUUCCCGGUGUAGCGGUGAAAUGCGCAGAUAUCGGGAGGAACACCGGUGGCGAAGGCGGCCCCCUGGGCCGUACCUGACGCUGAGGCGCGAAGGCUAGGGGAGCGAACGGG
rnacentral:rRNA from 1 species